UUUGCUGUGAUAGAGUUAUUAGCUUACUGAGACGUGUUAGAUCUCGCUCCAGUUGUGCUCUAUCUGAAGACAUUUACGCUUCGAUUAUUUCCUGUCUCUGGAACAUUACAACAUAGAGUUUUGACAUCUACUACUGAUUGCAGAAAAUAUGAAAUAAAGCAGCUGCAUGCAUUGAUAAACACAAAUAAAGGACCACAGUUAGCAGUUCAAUUCCUGGUAUCAAACAAAAAUCAAGAUCAAAAGCACAGUUUAUCCACUCGUGCUUGUAUACAAGUAGGGACCAUAAACUACCAUGGGUCAAUCCAAUCACAUGAAUGUACUAUAUAAUGUAAUCCUUUGUGAGACCUCUAGUAAAUUUUCAUAGUUUCAGUUUCUUUAAAACAGCCUCCCAGUCAUUCCGUUGAAAAGGAAAUUGUCUUUAUAAGGCAAAGUUACUCUUUCGCAACCAUCUCAACCGUGUUUUUAUGAACUGAAGAGAUUUGUCGUCCAGAGCUCAAGGCUGCACUUUCUCUGCCAAAUACUAUUACAAAAAAAUGCUGACUUGCUUAUGGGGUUUGAUGUCUUGGCCUAUCAUGAUAAUCCCAGAGGAUAUAUGGAAAGGUUGAAAUGCUGUGUAACCUACGGCCUCCACUGACCUCUUCUUCUGGACCUGAUGGAGAAGGAUCCGAUCCUGGUUGGCCUGAGCAAAGUGGGCCGGGGUCAGAGGCAGCAAGACGUGCGGACGAGGGUACUCAAUCCCCUUCAGCCAAGCACUGUUUGCAAUCUGUGUGAGAGAAGAGCGAUCAACAGGGACAGGCCGCAGCAUGCCC